UAAGGGUUAAGAACUGACGGUCUUUUUCCGGCAACGGGAAAAGCUAAGAGGGAACACGGUUCAAUUCGCUAUGCGGACCAAUCCGUGGCUGCCCCCGCAACUGUAAGCGGUGAGCCCGCGCCAAAAGCCACUGGACAUGUUGUUCGGGAAGGCGGCGCAAGGGCGUUCUUCACACUGCGAGCCAGGAGACCUGCCGUUUCAGGAAAAACGUC
rnacentral:ncRNA from 2 species